UGUGCAUGACUCUGUGUGUGUGUGUGCUCUGUUUGCAUGUGCGUCUCUGUGAUGCGCAUGCGUUUUGGGCUGGGUGAGAGAGAGUCUAUAGAUGUGUGUAUGUGUAUU